rnacentral:rRNA from 1 species
GACGAACGCUGGCGGCGUGCUUAACACAUGCAAGUCGAACGGAAAGGCCCUGCUUUUGUGGGGUGCUCGAGUGGCGAAAGGGUGAGUAACACGUGAGUAACCUGCCCUUGACUUUGGGAUAACUUCAGGAAACUGUGGCUAAUACCGGAUAGGAGCUCCUGCUGCAUGGUGGGGGUUGGAAAGUUUCGGCGGUUGGGGAUGGACUCGCGGCUUAUCAGCUUGUUGGUGGGGUAGUGGCUUACCAAGGCUUUGACGGGUAGCCGGCCUGAGAGGGUGACCGGCCACAAUGGGACUGAGAUACGGCCCAGACUCCUACGGGAGGCAGCAGUGGGGAAUAUUGCACAAUGGGCGGAAGCCUGAUGCAGCAAAGCCGCGUGCGGGAUGACGGCCUUCGGGUUGUAAACCGCUUUCGCCUGUGACGAAGAGUGAGUGACGGUAAUGGGUAAAGAAGCACCGGCUAACUACGUG